ensembl:lncRNA
AUGUGGAAAUACUCUGUUAGGUGUUCUUUUGUUCCCCCGGAAUUGAUCGAAGAGAUUCAAUAAAGAUCAUGGAGGAAAUCCUGAAAUUAUAGAAAAGGUCUGUGAAAUUCAGGCCUCAGUACAGACCCACCUGGUCUGUAGUCACAGUGCUAGGGAGCCUGAUAGGAUACUUCCUUUUAGCACACACAUCAGGAGCUCCGUGCAGGAAUUUGCUCUUUGGUGAAUAUACAGCACUAAUUUUUUUUUUCCAACCAUUACCAUCUUUUUGUCAGUAGGCGACCAAUGGCCGCUUUGAAGGAAGACAAGCCGUCUGAGCUCUCACAGGCAGCCCAGAAAUUAGAGAGAGGAGCUGGUGUGGCCCCGAGACACAGAUGGCUUUAGGAGCUGAGAGCCUAGAAAGAUGUGGCUGAAGUCUGUGCAGUGUUCAUAUCUGUGGAUUGGUCACACACACUGUUUACUCCUGAAACUAAGGUCUAUUUUAUAAACACUAAGGUUAAUUCUUUAAAGCGGUUACUUUAUUAAUGUCCUAUGAGAUUGGAAAUAUCAGGUACAUAUUUUGAAUACAGAAAAAUGACUCAAAUUCCUGGUGAAAGUGUGAAACGUGAACUCUGCAGUCUAGCGCUGUCUCACGAGUGUAGAUGCAGCCUUAACUUCGGGUGCAGAGUUCCUGAGGGGCUUCGCGUGCAUCCUUCCCUUCCUGGUUAUCGCGGGUAGACGGCAGGUCACCGCGAGCCAGCUUACCUCAGCACAGCCACCUUGUUGGUAUAUGACGUCGCAGAUUGAGCAACCAAGUGUCAGCACUUUUACUCUCUGACAUGGAGCCUACGAUCAAGUAAACGGAGCUGCCUUACUUGUGAAACCCAGAAUUUUAAUUCUGUUGGUAUUUUCACAGCCAUGUCUCCAGAUUUUAUCCUUUUUUGGCAAAAUUCUGAUGCCACAGCUUGGUUUGAUUGAAAUAAAUAUUCCCUGGAUGUCUCGUCAGGGACUCUGCUGACAGCCCCAGAGAUGCCGCCUCCUUUCAGUAGAUUUCAUCUGAGCCUUAUCGACAGCUCACCAUCUUCAGUUCCCUUCUAAAAACAUGAAAGUCCUUGGGACGGUCCCAAAGACAAGGCCUGCACAUUUAUAUAAUGGCAAAGCAUUUUUUAAAAGGGUCGGGUUGAAAUAGCUAGGAAUGAUCCUGUAAAGAAGAGGGACCAUUAAUGUGAGCGGAGAUAGACUAGGUCAUUACCACACCUGAAGCAGCAAUAGAUGUAUACAGUGUAAAUUUGAAAUCCGCCCUUUAGUUUAAAAAAAAGGAGCCUGCGAAGUCCAUUUAUCAGUUUCCAGCCCCGUCAGUCACCCAUCCAAUAUGUUGGCAGAGUAUCGUCUGAGCAGUGUGUGUAAGGAGUAAUCAUGAAAGCAAAAGUAUGUCAGAAAGUUACUUCCAAAUGGUUAGAGGCAUGUGACUUUUAGUACUGUGUGUUAACGGAAUGUCAGGAAUGGUAUAUUUUAACUGUGUGCAAGAUAAUGUCGGUGUGCACAGAGGGUCUUUUUUUCCUUUUUUGAUUAGUGCUGUUAGUGUUCAAAGAAUAAAAAUGGUUGUUUUACAGUUUAGAUUCCAAGAUAGCAAAAUCUGAUUUUUCAACCAUGACCUGCAUGAGAGAAGCAUCCUAGGAAGUCUUAGCUCAUACUUCUGAGUUCUUAACUUUAAUUUAUAUAGUGUUUUUUUUAUGUUUUAAUAUUUUUGUGAACUGGUGUAAAUUGUUAAUGCAUAUAAGCUUGUGUAUUUUUGUAAAUAGUUUGUGAUUUAUUUCUUGACUCAUAUGUAAAUAUUUAGAGUCUCAUUUCUUCAAAGCUUAUUUGAAGCUGAGUUGUGGGUUUGGG